GAUGAAGAACGCAGCGAAAUGCGAUAAGUAAUGUGAAUUGCAGAAUUCAGUGAAUCAUCGAAUCUUUGAACGCACAUUGCGCCCCCUGGUAUUCCGGGGGGCAUGCCUGUCCGAGCGUCAUUGCUGCCCUCAAGCACGGCUUGUGUGUUGGGCCUCCGUCCUCCUCCCGGGGGACGGGCCCGAAAGGCAGCGGCGGCACCGCGUCCGGUCCUCGAGCGUAUGGGGCUUCGUCACCCGCUCUUGUAGGCCCGGCCGGCGCUUGCCGACACAUCAAUCUUUUUUCCAGGUUGACCUCGGAUCAGGAAGGGAUGCCCGCUGAACUUAAGCAAAUCAAUAAGCGGAGGA
rnacentral:misc_RNA from 1 species